rnacentral:misc_RNA from 1 species
AAGUCGUAACAAGGUUUCCGUAGGUGAACCUGCGGAAGGAUCAUUAAUGUGAUUGUGCGCGUAGCAACAUACUGGGGCUCGCGUGCAAGACUCAUUCCUUGUGCUAUGUUUAUUGUUUGCUUGUGCGUGCAACGCGCACAUGUGCAUUUUAACAUAUUCGUACCUAUCUUACAUAUCUUUGCCCUAACGAGCAACAAACCAACAAAACUGCCAGCAAUGGAUCACUUGGUUCUC